GACGAACGCUGGCGGCGUGCUUAACACAUGCAAGUCGUACGGUAAGGCCCCUUCGGGGGUACACGAGUGGCGAACGGGUGAGUAACACGUGAGUAACCUGCCCACAACUUUGGGAUAACGCUAGGAAACUGGUGCUAAUACUGGAUAUGUGCUCCUGCUGCAUGGUGGGGGUUGGAAAGCUCCGGCGGUUGUGGAUGGACUCGCGGCCUAUCAGCUUGUUGGUGGGUAGUGGCCUACCAAGGCGGCGACGGGUAGCCGGCCUGAGAGGGUGACCGGCCACAUUGGGACUGAGAUACGGCCCAGACUCCUACGGGAGGCAGCAGUGGGGAAUAUUGCACAAUGGGCGCAAGCCUGAUGCAGCAACGCCGCGUGCGGGAUGACGGCCUUCGGGUUGUAAACCGCUUUCAGCAGGGACGAAGCUUUUUGUGACGGUACCUGCAGAAGAAGCACCGGCUAACUACGUG
rnacentral:rRNA from 1 species